rnacentral:rRNA from 1 species
UACGAAGGGGGCUAGCGUUGUUCGGAGUUACUGGGCGUAAAGGGCGCGUAGGCGGCGCACCAAGUCAGGCGUGAAAGCCCUGGGCUCAACCCGGGAAUUGCGCUUGAGACUGGUGUGCUUGAGUACGGGAGAGGAUAGUGGAAUUCCCAGUGUAGAGGUGAAAUUCGUAGAUAUUGGGAAGAACACCGGUGGCGAAGGCGGCUAUCUGGACCGUAACUGACGCUGAGGCGCGAAAGCGUGGGGAGCAACAG